rnacentral:siRNA from 1 species
UUGAUGCAAAAAGGUAUAACAU